rnacentral:rRNA from 1 species
UACGUAGGGUGCAAGCGUUGUCCGGAAUUAUUGGGCGUAAAGAGCGCGCAGGCGGUCUAUCAAGUCAGAUGUGAAAUAUCCGGGCUUAACCCGGAGGGGUCAUUUGAAACUGGUAGACUAGAGUACAGCAGAGGAUAGCGGAAUUCCCGGUGUAGUGGUGAAAUGCGUAGAUAUCGGGAGGAACACCAGUGGCGAAGGCGGCUAUCUGGGCUGAAACUGACGCUGAGGCGCGAAAGCUAGGGGAGCAAACAGG